rnacentral:misc_RNA from 1 species
CCUAACAUCACAACCUAAGAGAGCUCCAAAGAAAAUUACAAUAAGAAAAGAGAAUCAACUGAAUCCUGAAAUCCUCAGUAAAAUUUAUUUCCUUAUAAUUCCAAUUAUAUGUAAUAUAAAUUUCCGCUAAUAAUACAUAUAUGUUUAUCAAUUAACAACAUAAUUAUUUUAUGGCAGUUUAUUGAAUAUAUAUUGACCCAUUAAUUGAAAAUUAAAAACUCUACUUCCCAUUGGUUCUAAAUUUGAAUCACACAAGCCUAAUACAUAUACACUAAUCACCAAAACCCAUGAAUAUAAAAGCAAAUUGACAACUAGAGAAACAUCAGCAGUAGCAGCAGGGGAAUAUUUCCGAUGAAUCCUAGUGAUUAAGCAAAAUAAAGGAAUUAACUCCAAAACAUCCCAGCUGAUAAACAUAAAAUUAUCCUUCGAAGAACAUUAUCGCGUAAAAACAAAGCGUACACCUACAUGUACAUAUAAACUACGAGAGAAAGAGGGAGGCUACCCGCAUCUCAGAGUUGCCGAAGAAGGCAUCGAAGAGCUUGCGAAAGG